GGUUGUGGCUUAGUGGCAAAGCAUCUGCUUCGCAUGCAGAAGGUCUCAGGUUCAAUCCCUAGGAAGAGCU